GAGCCCAGUCGUGGGGCGCUGCUAUCCCACAGUGCAAUGGGAGCCCAGUUGUGGGGCGCUGCUGUCCCAGAAAGCAAUAGGAACCUAGUUGUGGGGCGCUGUUAUCCCAGGAUGCAUUAGGAGCCCGGUUGUGGGGUGCUCCUAUCCCGUGAUGCACCGGGAACCCCGCUAUGGGGCAGCGCCAUCCCACAACACAGCAGCGUCCAGCUGUGGGGCAGGGAGCUCCUAUUUUAGAGAGGGAUGAGAGCCCGGUUGUGGGGCGCUCAUAUCCCACGAUGCCCCGGGGGCCCAUUUGUGGGGCGCUCCAAUCCCAUGAUGCCCCAGGAGCCCAGUUGUGGGGCGCUCGUAUCCCAUGAUGCCCCAGGAGCCCAGUUGUGGGGCACUCGUAUCCCAUGGUGCUCUAGGAGCCCAGUUGUGGGGCACUCGUAUCCCAUGGUGCUCUAGGAGCCCACUUGUGGGGCACUCGUAUCCCGUGAUGCCCCGGGAGCCCAGUUGUGGGGUGCUCCAGUCCCAUGAUGCUCUAGGAGCCCAGUUGUGGGGCGCUCCAAUCCCAUGAUGCUCUAGGAGCCCAGCCAUGGGGCACUCGUAUCCCAUGAUGCCCCGGGAGCCCAGCCGUGGGGCGCUCCAGUCCCAUGAUGCUCCAGGAGCCCACUUGUGGGGCGCUCCAGUCCCAUGAUGCUCUAGGAGCCCAGUUGUGGGGCGCUCGUAUCCCAUGAUGCUCUAGGAGCCCAGCCGUGGGGCACCCGUAUCCCGUGAUGCCCCGGGAGCCGAGCAGCGGGCCGGGGCGCCGGGGGGCCGGCGGCGGGGCCGGGGGGGGCGCUGACCCCGCUCUCCCCCCAGCCCAUGGAGAUCUUCGUGGACGACGAGACCAAGCUGACGCUGCACGGGCUGCAGCAGUACUACGUCAAGCUCAAGGACAACGAGAAGAACCGCAAGCUCUUCGACCUCCUCGACGUCCUCGAGUUCAACCAGGUGGUGAUCUUCGUGAAGUCGGUGCAGCGCUGCAUCGCCCUGGCGCAGCUCCUGGUGGAGCAGAACUUCCCGGCCAUCGCCAUCCACCGCGGCAUGC
rnacentral:lncRNA from 1 species